UUAUGGAGGGCGGGGGGUCAAGUUUGAGGUAUAGCUGGGUGUCGUCCGCAUAACAAUGAUAUGAGAUGCCGAACUUCCUGAUUAUAUUGCCGAGGGUGAAGAGGGUAGGACCGAGUACAGAUCCCUGGGGGACACCGGAGGUGACAGUGUGAGUGUCGGAUUUUUUCCCCCCCAGGGAAACGUACUCGGUCCGGUUCGAGAGGUAGGACUGAAGCCAGGUUAGAGCAGUGCCAGAGAAUCCAUUGGAGUGAAGUUGGUUAAGGAGGAUAUUGUGGUGGACAGUGUCAAAUGCAGCGGACAGAUCCAACAGGAUGAGAAGUGACGGGGAGCCUGCAUCGGCAGCCAUGAGAAGGUCGUUGGUGACCCUAACAAGUGCUGUUUCAGUGCUGUGGCCAGAGCGAAACCCGGAUUGAAAUUUCUCAGCGAUGUUAUUGCGGGGGAGAUGAGUGUGAAGUUGGGCAGCUACCACUUUUUCCAGAACCUUGGAGAGGAACGGGAGGUUAGAUAUUGGUCUGUAGUUGGCAAGGUUGUCCGGGUCAAGUGAGGGUUUUUUGAGCAGGGGGGUAAUAAUGGCAGUCUUCAAUGCAGGGGGUACAGAGCCAGACUGGAGUGAGAGGUUGAUGACAUUGGUUAUUAGGGGACUAAUGGCUGAGGUUUGUUGUUUAAUGAGGGCUGUGGGGAAAGGGUCCAGGGCACAUGUGGAGGGUUUCAUC